rnacentral:rRNA from 1 species
GGGGAUGAAGUGGUUGAUGCCAUGCUUCCAGGAAAAUCUUCUAAGCUUCAGGUUAGCAGGAAUCGUACCCCAAACCGACACAGGUGGUCGGGUAGAGAAUACCAAGGCGCUUGAGAGAACUCGGCUGAAGGAACUAGGCAAAAUGGUACCGUAACUUCGGGAGAAGGUACGCUCCUGUUGGUGAAGAGACUUGCUCUCAGAGCUGACGGGAGUCGCAGAUACCAGGUGGCUGCAACUGUUUAUCAAAAACACAGCACUGUGCAAAAUCGCAAGAUGACGUAUACGGUGUGACGCCUGCCCGGUGCCGGAAGGUUAAUUGAUUGGGUUAUCUUCGGAGAAGCUCAUGAUCGAAGCCCCGGUAAACGGCGGCCGUAACUAUAACGGUCCUAAGGUAGCGAAAUUCCUUGUCGGGUAAGUUCCGACCUGCACGAAUGGCGUAAUGAUGGCCACGCUGUCUCCAGCCGAGACUCAGUGAAGUUGAAAUUGCGGUGAAGAUGCCGUAUACCCGCGGCUAGACGGAAAGACCCCGUGAACCUUUACUAUAGCUUGGCACUGAACAUUGACCCUACAUGUGUAGGAUAGGUGGGAGACUAUGAAGAUGAGACGCCAGUCUUGUUGGAGUCAACCUUGAAAUACCACCCUUGUAGUGUUGAUGUUCUAACCUGGGCCCCUAAUCGGGGUUAGGGACAGUGCCUGGUGGGUAGUUUGACUGGGGCGGUCUCCUCCCAAAGAGUAACGGAGGAGCACGAAGGUUGGCUAAGUACGGUCGGACAUCGUACGGUUAGUGUAAUGGCAUAAGCCAGCUUAACUGCGAGACAGACACGUCGAGCAGGUGCGAAAGCAGGUCAUAGUGAUCCGGUGGUUCUGAAUGGAAGGGCCAUCGCUCAACGGAUAAAAGGUACUCCGGGGAUAACAGGCUGAUACCGCCCAAGAGUUCAUAUCGACGGCGGUGUUUGGCACCUCGAUGUCGGCUCAUCACAUCCUGGGGCUGAAGUCGGUCCCAAGGGUAUGGCUGUUCGCCAUUUAAAGUGGUACGCGAGCUGGGUUCAGAACGUCGUGAGACAGUUCGGUCCCUAUCUGCCGUGGGCGUUGGAUGAUUGAGGGGAGCUGCUCCUAGUACGAGAGGACCGGAGUGGACGAACCGCUGGUGUUCGGGUUGUCAUGCCAAUGGCAUUGCCCGGUAGCUACGUUCGGAAUCGAUAACCGCUGAAAGCAUCUAAGCGGGAAGCGAGCCCCAAGAUGAGUCAUCCCUAGGGCCUAGAGCCCUCUGAAGAGCCGUUCGAGACCAGGACGUUGAUAGGCAGGGUGUGUAAGCGUUGCGAGGCGUUGAGCUAACCUGUACUAAUGACUCGAGAGGCUUAACCAUACAACCCAGAUGGGUUUU